CAUCGGGUUGUUAGAAGUCUUGUCAUCUCACCAGCCCAUGAUGCUCUUACCUUCAACUGUUGCUCCUUCCUAAGCAGAGGUGGAGGUUCAGCCAGUACUUUGAACACAUAGUAUGAGAGCUUUGACACUAAAUGAUCCUCAGCAGAGUUGAGACCUCAUCUGAGAGAAUGUGCAUCUUACUCCAUCCACAGCUUAGUCCUGCUUAAGUACCAGCAGAUGAAAUACAAAAGUGACACAACAUGGAGAAAAUCCAAAAACGACCUGGAGACCCUGGAAAAUCAUCGGAGAAUUUGGAAGUAGAGUUCAGAAAAGCGAAAUUUAAAAUAGAGCUGAAAAUGUCAAAGGCUUCACGGUCCUAGGAAGCCAAAGAGAACUACCCAGAGAUGCCUUAGGCUGAAGGUCCCUAGCAAAUCAGUGAUCAAUUUAGCAUUCAUUUGCCUCCUGCUGCCCAGAGUCCUCUGGAGAGUCAAGAAAUUAGUUCUGCUAUUCCUAACUUCGCUUUAAGAAGCCUGCUUGCUAUUCUU